CCUACGGGGGGCAGCAGUGGGGAAUAUUGGACAAUGGGCGAAAGCCUGAUCCAGCCAUGCCGCGUGUGUGAAGAAGGCCUUCGGGUUGUAAAGCACUUUCAGUGGGGAAGAAAGCCUUGGGGCUAAUACCCUCGAGGAAGGACAUCACCCACAGAAGAAGCACCGGCUAACUCCGUGCCAGCAGCCGCGGUAAUACGGAGGGUGCGAGCGUUAAUCGGAAUUACUGGGCGUAAAGCGCGCGUAGGCGGUCUGAUAAGCCGGUUGUGAAAGCCCCGGGCUCAACCUGGGAACGGCAUCCGGACCUGUCAGGCUAGAGUGCAGGCGAGGAAGGUAGAAUUCCCGGUGUAGCGGUGAAAUGCGUAGAGAUCGGGAGGAAUACCAGUGGCGAAGGCGGCCUUCUGGACUGACACUGACGCUGAGGUGCGAAAGCGUGGGUAGCAAACAGGAUUAGAUACCCCAGUAGUC
rnacentral:rRNA from 1 species